rnacentral:rRNA from 1 species
GACGAACGCUGGCGGCGUGCUUAACACAUGCAAGUCGAACGGAAAGGCCCUGCUUUUGUGGGUUGCUCGAGUGGCGAACGGGUGAGUAACACGUGAGUAACCUGCCCUUGACUUUGGGAUAACUUCAGGAAACUGGGGCUAAUACCGGAUAGGAGCUCCUGCUGCAUGGUGGGGGUGGGAAAGUUUCGGCGGUUGGGGAUGGACUCGCGGCUUAUCAGCUUGUUGGUGGGGUAGUGGCUUACCAAGGCUUUGACGGGUAGCCGGCCUGAGAGGGUGACCGGCCACAUUGGGACUGAGAUACGGCCCAGACUCCUACGGGAGGCAGCAGUGGGGAAUAUUGCACAAUGGGCGGAAGCCUGAUGCAGCAACGCCGCGUGCGGGAUGACGGCCUUCGGGUUGUAAACCGCUUUCGCCUGUGACGAAGCGUGAGUGACGGUAAUGGGUAAAGAAGCACCGGCUAACUACGUG